rnacentral:rRNA from 1 species
GGACUGAGACACGGCCCAGACUCCUACGGGAGGCAGCAGUGGGGAAUUUUCCGCAAUGGGCGAAAGCCUGACGGAGCAAUACCGCGUGAGGGAGGAAGGCCUUUGGGUUGUAAACCUCUUUUCUCAGGGAAGAAGAUCUGACGGUACCUGAGGAAUAAGCAUCGGCUAACUCCGUGCCAGCAGCCGCGGUAAUACGGAGGAUGCAAGCGUUAUCCGGAAUCAUUGGGCGUAAAGCGUCCGCAGGUGGUUUUUCAAGUCUGCUGUUAAAGACUGGAGCUCAACUCCGGAAAGGCAGUGGAAACUGAGAAACUAGAGUUCGGUAGGGGUAGCGGGAAUUCCCAGUGUAGCGGUGAAAUGCGUAAAUAUUGGGAAGAACAUCGGUGGCGAAGGCGCGCUACUGGACCGAAACUGACACUCAGGGACGAAAGCUAGGGGAGCGAAAGGGAUUAGAUACCCCUGUAGUCCUAGCUGUAAACGAUGGAAACUAGGUGUGGCUUGUAUCGACCCGAGCCGUGCCGUAGCUAACGCGUUAAGUUUCCCGCCUGGGGAGUACGCACGCAAGUGUGAAACUCAAAGGAAUUGACGGGGGCCCGCACAAGCGGUGGAGUAUGUGGUUUAAUUCGAUGCAACGCGAAGAACCUUACCAGGGCUUGACAUGUCGCGAAUCUCCUUGAAAGGGGAGAGUGCCUUCGGGAGCGCGAACACAGGUGGUGCAUGGCUGUCGUCAGCUCGUGUCGUGAGAUGUUGGGUUAAGUCCCGCAACGAGCGCAACCCUCGUCUUUAGUUGCCAGCAUUAAGGUGGGCACUUUAGAGAGACUGCCGGUGACAAACCGGAGGAAGGUGGGGAUGACGUCAAGUCAGCAUGCCCCUUACGCCCUGGGCUACACACGUACUACAAUGGUUGGGACAAAGGGCAGCGACCCCGCGAGGGAAAGCGAAUCUCAUCAAACCCAGCCUCAGUUCAGAUUGCAGGCUGCAACUCGCCUGCAUGAAGGAGGAAUCGCUAGUAAUCGCAGGUCAGCAUACUGCGGUGAAUUCGUUCCCGGGCCUUGUACACACCGCCCGUCACACCAUGGAAGCUGGUCACGCCCGAAGUAGUUACCCUAACCUUUCGGGGGGGGGGACUCCUAAGGCAGGGCUAGUGACUGGGGUGAAGUCGUAACAAGGUAGCCGUACCGGAAGGUGUGGCUG